GACGAACCGUGCGAACGUUAUUCGGAAUCACUGGGCUUAAAGGGCGCGUAGGCGGGCUCCCAAGUCAGGGGUGAAAUCCCACGGCUCAACCGUGGAAGUGCCUCUGAUACUGGGGGCCUCGAGGGGUGCAGGGGCGUGCGGAACUCAGGGUGGAGCGGUGAAAUGCGUAGAUAUCCUGAGGAACACCGGUGGCGAAAGCGGCGCGCUGGACACCUUCUGACGCUGAGGCGCGAAAGCCAGGGGAGCAAACGGG
rnacentral:rRNA from 1 species